CGUGAAGCAAGGAGGAUAGACAGCCGCCAGUUACCGCCGUGACUUGCCCAAUCCGAAAGGCGGAAAUUGAGGAGCUCCGCCCGCUGAAGCUAUUUGAGCGCGACCGUUUGGUAGGGCUCCUUGAGCGGCUUCUUCCACGGCUCCUUGAGGAGCCCUGCCAAAGAGUUCCCCCGGAGCUUUCCUUCCUGGACGCCGCCGCAUCAGUUUUUCGAAAUCGAGAGCUGCCACUUUGCCUUCUCCACUCGAAACCUAGUUUAGUUUGGGUGCGAUCUAACCUUGAUCCGAGAUGUCGGAGUCCUCCCCUUCCUCGGUGAAGCUAGGAAUGGUCGACUUCGACUACGAAAGAUCUGUUCUUGAGGAGUGGGCUCAGGCGGCGGAGUCGGAGGAUGGCGACGAUUCCUUUUGGGUACCGCCGGUAUCGUUAAUCCGGUACAGAGAUCUUCUUAAGAGAGCAUGGGGUUGGGAAAGGUUGCUGCCCAGACUUAACGGUUCCAUUGAUUGGGAUCAAUACAAGACAUACCUUGAGGAGUAUUAUCAGCACAAUGCUGACAAAGCAGCUAGCAAAGAAACACUGCGUGCUGCAGCCAACCUGGUAAGUGUAUCAGCGUAGAGCAAGAACUUGUGGGUUACUGCAUUUGCAUUUUCAAUAUGGAAGAUAUGAGGAUGUGCAGUCAGAUCCAGGAACGUGUAACGGUUGUGUUAAACUCAGAGGGUGAAUACCCUGCUGCAGCUGCGGCCUUGCCUGUCUAUUAAGACUGAGGCUUGCUGAGUCAUGGUUUUGACACCAGUGUGGUCGCCAUAGGCAAUAAGAUCCGUCGCCUUGCUUCAAAUCUAAUGCUAUACAAAGGCUCUGAAUAUGCAGCAGUCUCAGGUGCCAUGAUGGGUGUUGCAAAAGAGGCUACUAUCACUCUUGACUCAAUACGACAUGAUCUCGUUGGGGCAAACACGAAAUAUUAUAAUUGUCUGCGGAUGCGUAAAAGUAUUGCAGCUGAUUUGGCCAAACUUGAGCAAGAGCUUUCUCACAAGACAACUGAUUAUGAUGGCACUCCUGCUACUGGCAAAACAGGUGAAAACGGGAUGGAGAAGAGGAAUGGAAGUUUGAACAAUCAAACAGAAACUGAGGAGGUUGAGGAUGGCAAUGUUUGUGUUAGGGCCCAGAAGCCGGCCCAAAAGCAAGAGCAGCCGCCCGCCCCAGCGUGGAUCACGUACCAGCGCCGUAGGCGGCGCGUAAGCGGCUAGAGGACCACAAUCUUUGCUUUUUUAGAUGUUUAAUUUCCAUAGUUUGGGCCAUUUGUAAGUUCAAUAUCCGUACUCUUGAUUGAAAAAGUUUAGGCCGAGAAUCAAUCUUGGUUUUGCCU